GUGUCCAAGUAUGGUUCAUUCACCCAAGGUCUUGAUUUUAAGGCAAAGAAGAUUUUUAAUAAGAUUGAAUUAAUAAGACCCAUGAUUUUGAAUCUCAUGGGAUGUGGGCAUCUCAGUUUCCCCAUGGAACGGGAUGCCCUGUGUCCUACUCUAUCUUGGUGGCCGUCUCAGUCAAGCAUCCCAAUACCUGCUCGAACUCGGUAAUUGAGCUUUAGGCUUGGGCCAAAUCUCGAG
rnacentral:lncRNA from 1 species